rnacentral:rRNA from 1 species
GAUGAACGCUGGCGGCGUGCCUAAUACAUGCAAGUCGAGCGAACAGAUAAGGAGCUUGCUCCUUUGACGUUAGCGGCGGACGGGUGAGUAACACGUGGAUAACCUACCUAUAAGACUGGGAUAACUUCGGGAAACCGGAGCUUAUACCGGAUAACAUAUUGAACCGCAUGGUUCAAUAGUGAAAGGCGGCUUUGCUGUCACUUAUAGAUGGAUCCGCGCCGUAUUAGCUAGUUGGUAAGGUAACGGCUUACCAAGGCAACGAUACGUAGCCGACCUGAGAGAGUGAUCGGCCACACUGGAACUGAGACACGGUCCAGACGCCUACGGGAGGCAGCAGUAGGGAAUCUUCCGCAAUGGGCGAAAGCCUGACGGAGCAACGCCGCGUGAGUGAUGAAGGUCUUCGGAUCGUAAAACUCUGUUAUCAGGGAAGAACAAAUGUGUAAGUAACUGUGCACAUCUUGACGGUACCUGAUCAGAAAGCCACGGCUAACUACGUG